AGAGUGGAGUGCAGCCAAGGAUGACUUGCCGGAAUUCACAUAUAGAGUGGAAUGAGGCAAUAGACCGGCCUCUUCUCAUGGUGUCCCUGGCAGGUUGUCCUUGGCUACCUUUCGUUCUCU
rnacentral:pre_miRNA from 11 species